ensembl:lncRNA
AAAGUCUACUUUUAUGGUACUAAAAACAACAACAACAAAAGUAAAAAGUAACUUUUUUGCAGACUUGAGCUAAAUCACUUGACGUCUGUUUUCCCAUGAAGGCUCCAAGAACAAUCAACACAUUUGCUACAGGAAAGUAUAAAAGCAUAUUCCCAAAUGGUAGUUACAGUUCCUGAAAUGGUUCUGCUGCCAGCAUAGCUUUAUAACCUCCCUAAAUUCAGCUUUUAAAGUGCCCUUUCUUUUAACUGAGAUAGAAUUAGUACAAAAAUAGGACUACCUGGUGCCAAUUAACACCAUAAAUGAUCAACAUUGCUGAAAUUAAUGUGAAAACCUUUUUCCUUAUCUUUCUCAACAGUGUGCAGCAGCGGUAGUGCUUACCUCGUAAUCCAGAAAAUGUAGUGAAAGCUCAGUCGAGUAAAAGAGCUAUGGUAGAACAUGGGUUGGUAUUUUCCACUGCUCCAAAAAGAUAGCUAAAUAGUACUGCCUGUGGCAGUUUUACAGAGCCAAUACACAAGACUGAAAGCAGUCCAUGAACAGGACAUCUCCAGGCUUACCUUCUUCAGUUUGAUCAACCUGUGCUGCUAACGCUCUCCAAACCCAAAUCUCAUUGGCUCAAUCCCUACAUUAUAACUAGGGAAUACAGGAACUUAAAAAGUUGCAGUCUAGACAGAACUGGAAAUUUUAAUAUGGUUUGAAUGGUUCAGAGGGGGCACACCUAUGCUUUCUGUCUCAUUCAGGACCUAAAAGCACCUCACUGUUGUAUAGACAGGACAAGUUUUAAACAAUUCACAUUGCAAUGCUUUGAUAAAACAAGAAGUUCCGUUCCAUAUGUCAGAUAUUCAUGAGGAACAUCCUAAAAUUUAUAACGUUAUCCUCAUCUGACAAAUGUUUCUCCCCAUGGACUAAAGAUCGUUUAAGGACAUGGCUUUUAAACUUAUGCUCCUGUGACAACUAUCAUCUGCUGUCAUUUACAGUUUUGGAGGAUGCAGUUGAGCUCCAGUGCUCCUGCAGAGAAGAAAAUAUCUGUUUUUCCUUAGUUCUAAAGACUGAAACUAUUGAAAUGACAUGGUUCUCUAAGGCAGGAGCCAAUUUUGGUAAUAAGCAUCUGUGAGAGAAAAACAAGAACCUUUCAUCACUUUGAAUAUAUUCUAGAAUAAGCAAACCUUUUAUUUCGCACUUUUUAUUUUUGACUUCACAGACAUCAUGGAUUCAAAAAGUGGAGCAGCUGCGAUAAUUAAAAAGAAUUCAGGAAAAGAACGUGAUAAAUGUAGAACUGCACAAAAAUUUGGAGAAAAGUGGAAACAACCUCUUCACCAUCCCAAGGUACUGAGUCUUGGUGCCUGGAUUUGAGUACUAGAAGUGAUCUCACCAGCCCUGCAUGGGAGGCCAAUGCUACAUCCCCACCCCAUGGGCACCUCAGCCCACUCAGACCCCCGAGGUUCCCACUGUCUCUACACAUCACAGAAUCAUAGAAUGAUAAAAUGGUCUGUGUUGGAGGGCACCUUUAGCUCCAACCCCCUGCUAUAGGCAGGGACACCUCCCUCUAAACCAGGUUGCUCAAAGCUUCAUCCAGCCUGGCCUUGAAUGCUUCCAGGGAGGAGGCAUCCACAACUUCACUGGGCAACCUGCUCCAGUGAGUCACCACUCUCCUAGGAAAGAAUUUAUUCCUAAUAUCUAGUUUAAAUCUACCCUCUGCCAGUUUAAAGCCAUUAGGUAGAUGUAAUUACACACUUUCACUGCAGUCAGUAUCCUUCCAUCAAGUUUUGAAAGAGCUGAAAGUUAUCCUAAAUCAUACAGUUGUGCAUAUGCUCCUCUGAAAAGUGAAAUAAAUCCUCAUUCCUGAUCCACUUAAAUACAAAAAGUAAUUGUGAAAAAGAAAUUUUGCUAAAUGUGCAAAUCCAGACUCAUUGUUAUUUAAGACCUUUUUCAUUUUUAUUAUCACAAAGUUGUACAAUUAAGAUCACAGAUUGAAGAGUAAUUAGACUAAUUAUUUCCAAGAUCACACUGUGUGUGUACUGCUAGUAAUUUCUAUUUCAAUCAUUUAAAAUAAGUUUACCUCCAUUCACUUUCU